rnacentral:rRNA from 1 species
GCGUACCAUGACAGUUCUAGGGGCAGCACGUAUGUUAUCAAUACAUGGGUGGCGUACCGUGUCGCACGGGUGCGUAACACGAUAUGGAAUCUGCCCUUUACCUGGAGGAUAGCCCGGAGAAAUCCGGAUUAAUACUCCAUAAUAAGUCGAGUGGCAUCACUUGGCUUUGAAAGCUCCGGCGGUAAAGGAUGACCAUGCGCACGAUUAGCUAGUUGGUGAGGUAACGGCUCACCAAGGCUACGAUCGUUAGGGGGCCUGAGAGGGUUAUCCCCCACACUGGUACUGAGACACGGACCAGACUCCUACGGGAGGCAGCAGUGAGGAUUAUUGCGCAAUGGAGGCAACUCUGACGCAGCCAUGCCGCGUGCAGGAAGAAGGCGCUACACGUUGUAAACUGCUUUUAACCGGGAAGAAACCCCAGGACGUGUCCUGGGUUGACGGUUCCGGAGGAAUAUGCACCGGCUAACUUCGUGCCAGCAGCCACGGUAAUACUAAGGGUGCAAGCGUUAUCCGGAUUCAUUGUGUUUAAAGGGUGCGUUAUGCGGGAUGGUAAUUCAUCUGGUACAACUCCUGCAGCCUUAACUGU